GACGAACGCUGGCGGCGUGCUUAACACAUGCAAGUCGAACGGAAAGGCCCUGCUUUUGUGGGGUGCUCGAGUGGCGAACGGGUGAGUAACACGUGAGUAACCUGCCCUUGACUUUGGGAUAACUUCAGGAAACUGGGGCUAAUACCGGAUAGGAGCUCCUGCUGCAUGGUGGGGGUUGGAAAGUUUCGGCGGUUGGGGAUGGACUCGCGGCUUAUCAGCUUGUUUGUGGGGUAGUGGCUUACCAAGGCUUUGACGGGUAGCCGGCCUGAGAGGGUGACCGGCGACAUUGGGACUGAGAUACGGCCCAGACUCCUACGGGAGGCAGCGGUGGGGAAUAUUGCACAAUGGGCGGAAGCCUGAUGCGGCAACGCCGCGUGCGGGAUGACGGCCUUCGGGUUGUAAACCGCUUUCGCCUGUGACGAAGCGUGAGUGACGGUAAUGGGUAAAGAAGCACCGGCUAACUACGUG
rnacentral:rRNA from 1 species